rnacentral:rRNA from 1 species
AUGACGUUGGGAAAGCGAGCGGCGGAUGGGUGAGUAACACGUGGGGAACCUGCCCCUAAGUCUGGGAUACCAUUUGGAAACAGGUGCUAAUACCGGAUAAUAAAGCAGAUCGCAUGAUCAGCUUUUGAAAGGCGGCGUAAGCUGUCGCUAAGGGAUGGCCCCGCGGUGCAUUAGCUAGUUGGUAAGGUAACGGCUUACCAAGGCGACGAUGCAUAGCCGAGUUGAGAGACUGAUCGGCCACAUUGGGACUGAGACACGGCCCAAACUCCUACGGGAGGCAGCAGUAGGGAAUCUUCCACAAUGGACGCAAGUCUGAUGGAGCAACGCCGCGUGAGUGAAGAAGGUUUUCGGAUCGUAAAGCUCUGUUGUUGGUGAAGAAGGAUAGAGGUAGUAACUGGCCUUUAUUUGACGGUAAUCAACCAGAAAGUCACGGCUAACUACGUGCCAGCAGCCGCGGUAAUACGUAGGUGGCAAGCGUUGUCCGGAUUUAUUGGGCGUAAAGCGAGCGCAGGCGGAAAAAUAAGUCUAAUGUGAAAGCCCUCGGCUUAACCGAGGAACUGCAUCGGAAACUGUUUUUCUUGAGUGCAGAAGAGGAGAGUGGAACUCCAUGUGUAGCGGUGGAAUGCGUAGAUAUAUGGAAGAACACCAG